rnacentral:lncRNA from 1 species
UCUAAAUAAUUGUUUUCUUCCUUGUUUAUGACAAAGCGAAUUAAUUUAAUCAAAUAAAUACUAAAAUAAACAGAUAAUAAGAAGAAUAAGAAGAGGAGGAAUAGGCGUUACGCAAUGAUGAGAUUAAGUGCUUGCGGGCUGGUGAAAUUGCCGACACAAGAGUGAGUGACGUUUGUCGUCUUGUGAGUAUACUCACCGUUGUUUCUCUUUCGCUCGAUGCAAAUCUCCUCCGGGACGUCCCUAAUCAACCAGAUCCAGCUAUACAACCUAAUCAAGCCUGCUGCGUCAAACCUUCAUUGAAUGGGAAUUCAAAUUCGAUGACAUCUAACUGCCUAAACCUAAGGCGAAUACGUGAACAGAGACUUUUCUCUGCUGCUGUAGCUGCUAGGAUACUAAAAUUGUCUGCUUUAGCUAACCAGGGGCUUGCUAAGGGUAUUCAUACAUGAAUACCCUUAUCAAUCCCCUUACUGGUGUCGUUGAUUUUGGCUGGAAUUUGGUGGUGGAGGACUGAAUUUUGAGGAGGAUUGUGUGGAAGAGAUGGAACUGUUGUGGUAAUUUGAUGGUUAAAACGACGCCGUUAUAUUUGUCACGACCGGCUGUGGAAGGGAGCCUUUUGCGUUGAUUAUUUUUGGUGACCGGCUUCAACCACUUGAAUAAGUUUUAAUUUAUCACUGUUAUGUUCACUUAGCAUGAGUUUAUUGGUCAACUAAUCAUUUCACUGAUUGUAUGUUGCGAUAAAUGUAAUUUAGAGGAAUCCUUGUGUUUGUGGGUGUGAAUAUGUCUUAGUCCAGGUCUGACAAAAUAGAGGGCCAAAUCAGAGAUUUUAUCAUCUUUUGUCUUUAGAUAUCUGUCAGGCUGCCACAGUACAAGUGUAGGUUCUCUUUUGUCUUUUUCUUGCUUUUACUCUCUCCUUGGUUUUAUGAAAAUGUGGCCGUGAGGAAUGUUGCCAUCCCAUAAAUCCCCUAAGAGCUCAACUAGCAGCCCUCUCUUAUGGUUAGCUGAGAGCUCAAAUCUUCUUCCAUUGCAAAAGUAUGAAGUUUUCUUUUGACAUUCAGUUUCCAGAAAUGAAUUGUCCUGUUGAUGUGAGAUUCUUGUUUCCACCAUUGCUAAAUCUUGUAGUCUUCUUUUUCUUCCUGAGAUCUCAAGAUAGUCAGUCUUGGUCCCUCCAGGAUGGAGCCAACCACAUACUUUUGUACCCAAUUUUAAAGCUUCAAUUCCCCUUCAUGAGUCUUGCCGUCCUGAUAUUACUGCUCUUUCUCCUCACAGCUAUCAGGGUUCCUCUCAGAGUGAGCAGCCCCAUGUCCGUGAGUUGUGGAGAUCAUCUCCCUUGUCUGUUGGCAAUAUCAACAAUCGCGUCUCUCAUUUUGGCUCCAUCUCUUUUCUUGGUGGUUUAUCUGUGUUUCAUGAUCCUAUCUCUCUUUUAUGUAAUGUCAACUUCCUUGUUUAAGCGCUUCUGCAAAGGAUACACUGUUGUUCCUGAAUCUGAUGGUCAAGUUGAAGUUGGACAUGAAGCUGAAGCUGAAGUUGAAGUUAAAGUAGAAGGUGGGCGCAUCCAAGACCUGCUGCCAAGUCCAUCUGGGGAUAUGGUGUAAUUGUGGUGACUUCAGCUUCCAUGCAACUACUACUACCUAUAGCUGGCUACAGGUGCCACAGUAAUAAUAUAUGCUUCUGUUUUAAUUUUUUUUUUUUUUUAAGAAAAAGAUAAAAAUCAGAUCAGUUGUGUUAGUUAUGCAUACGAUUCCGUAUAGACGACGCAGACAACGAA